AGAGGCCAGAGACAACCAAUUACAGCCUCAAGAGGGUUAUUUUAACCUAAGUUACCUUUUGGUCAGUGCCCUGUCGUGGUUUCCCUUAAAUGGUUAUCCGAGAGUGUGUUCCUGAUCGUGUUUUUCUGGUUUUUGACUUUGGCUUCGUUUUUACUUCCCUGAUUUCUGGUACCCUUGACUUUUGGCUUUUCCUUAUCGCUGUGUCUUGUUCUGUUUCCCUGAUCUUGGCUAGUUUUCUGACUAUUCUCAGAUAUGUUAAGUCCAGCCAUUCUAAGGUCUGGUAAGACAUUGCCCUUAGUUAUAGGGUGUGAUAUUAUUAUGCGUGCUGGAUCAAUAUAAUCCUGACAGCUGCCCCUUUAAGAGACCUGGCUGGGUUUGAACUGACAGCUCAAGGUCUGAUUCGUCUGCUACCUAAUUCCUUUACCUGUAUUCCCUGCCACUCCGCAGCGGCGCCCAGAAGUGUCCUCGCAAACCUCUCCUGUCCGCCGGUGUGUUUCUCCACUAAGGGGUGGAUCAGGUGACAUGUGUACCAUGACCCCCAUGCUGCUCCAAGAUUCUAUUUAAACUUGGUUCUGUGCUCAGUUGUUUUGUUCAUCCCUAGGAGUAAAGAUCCAUCUCCUAAGGCAUAUUGCCUACCUUUGUUUAUGGAAAACCCUUGCUGUGUAUCCUGUGUUCCUGUUACCUACUGAUUCCUCUUUAAAAAAACUUUUGCAUAUUUGACUUCGCAUUAGAUUAACCCUUGCAACGCUAAGUCCACUUUAAAGGAUUUUUGCAUAUUUUUUUUUUAAAUUCUUUAUUUUUGAGUGCAUCAAGAAAAAUCAGUUACAUAUGCAUUUGCCAAGCCCCAACAGCAUGUACACA